rnacentral:rRNA from 1 species
AUUGAACGCUGGCGGCAUGCCUUACACAUGCAAGUCGAACGGUAACGGGCCUUCGGGUGCCGACGAGUGGCGAACGGGUGAGUAAUGUAUCGGAACGUACCUUUCAGUGGGGGAUAACGUAGCGAAAGUUACGCUAAUACCGCAUAUUCUGUGAGCAGGAAAGCAGGGGAUCGCAAGACCUUGCGCUGAUUGAGCGGCCGAUAUCAGAUUAGCUAGUUGGUGAGGUAAAGGCUCACCAAGGCGACGAUCUGUAGCGGGUCUGAGAGGAUGAUCCGCCACACUGGAACUGAGACACGGUCCAGACUCCUACGGGAGGCAGCAGUGGGGAAUUUUGGACAAUGGGGGCAACCCGGAUCCAGCCAUGCCGCGUGAGUGAAGAAGGCCUUCGGGUUGUAAAGCUCUUUCGACCGGGAAGAAAUCGUAUCAGCUAAUACCUGGUGCGGAUGACGGUACCGGCAUAAGAAGCACCGGCUAACUACGUGCCAGCCGCCGCCGUAAGAC